UACAGAGGUCUCAAGCGUUGUUCGGAUUCAUUGGGCGUAAAGGGUGUGUAGGUGGCGCGCUAAGUCGGGUGUGAAAUUUCGGAGCUUAACUCCGAAACUGCAUUCGAUACUGGCGUGCUUGAGGACUGGAGAGGAGACUGGAAUUCAUGGUGUAGCAGUGAAAUGCGUAGAGAUUUGGAGGAACACCAGUGGCGAAGGCGACUUUCUGGUCUGUAACUGACACUGAGGCGCGAAAGCGUGGGGAGCGAACAGG
rnacentral:rRNA from 1 species